rnacentral:sRNA from 1 species
GCUUUACAGUGAGUCAUUAAACAAUUUAUCAAAAGUCACAGAAGCCAAUCUGGCAAGACUGGAGAGAGUCAGAAGUGCACCACAGACAGUUUAUUAUAAAACUCCAGACCAAAUUUUCAUGCAGUCAUCAUGGGCAGAUUACAGUCAUAUGUUUGCACCAAAAAGUGCCAUAGGUAGAUCAAAUGAUGGAGACAGUUCUUCAGUUAGCUCAGUGUCUGGUGCAUCAAAUUUCUGCUACUUGUGCUCCACUUUAGAAGAACACAGGUCACACAUGAAAGUUCCCAAGAAGCUGAAAGUGAACCAACAGCCAAGAAUAAAAUACAUUGCUCCACCUCCU